UGUCCCAAAUCUCACCCACUUGACCAAAACCUCAACCAGUUUUGCCCCAAACCCCCACCGUUCUCCUCUCAUCUCCAUCCAUUUCGCCACAACCCUUCACUCUCUGCACCAAACCAGAGCCUUCAACGGACCCCCAAACUCUACCCUGAGCCAUGGACCCUGUCCCAGGACGUGUCCUGCCAGGGCUCCGGCUUCACCUUCAGCAGCGUCGGCAUGGACUGGGUGCGACAGGCGCCCGGGAAGGGGCUCGAGUUCGUUGCGCGUAUUGGCAACGAUGGUCGUACCACAGCCUACGCGCUGUCGGUGCAGGGGCGCUUCACCAUCUCCAGGGACAACUCCCAGAGCACGCUCACGCUGCAGAUGAACAGCCUCCGGGACGACGACACGGCCACCUACUACUGCGCGAAAGCUGCUGCUGGUGGCGGCUCUGAGCCGGCGUCUGCUCAGGAAACGCGCCGGCGAGCCGCGUCCCCGCCGGGGACAGGAGGCAGCGAUGCCUGGCAGCCCCCGGCCCUCUGGGACGGCUCCAGCCGCUGCCUCUGCCUGCCCCGAGCCCGCGCCCCGGCACCGACCCCAACAUCCCUGCCCUCUUGA